rnacentral:rRNA from 1 species
UACGUAGGGUGCGAGCGUUGUCCGGAUUUACUGGGUGUAAAGGGAGCGCAAGCGGACUGAUAAGUCGAUGGUGAAAGCUCAAAGCUUAACUUUGAACCUGCCACCGAUACUGUCAGCCUUGAGUGCAGAAGAGGAAGAUGGAAUUCCUGGUGUAGCGGUGAAAUGCGUAGAUAUCAGGAAGAACACCAGAGGCGAAGGCGGUCUUCUGGUCUGCAACUGACGCCCGGGCUCGAAAGCGUGGGGAG